UCGUCCAGAUUCAUGGAGCGUCUCGCCUGCGUCUUGUCGUCAUCUAUCUGCCGCUAACGCGACCACCGUGACGGCCCGCGGCUACUGGAAGUGCGCCCAGACGCCAACACAGAUAAAUAAACAACAACGGCGUCACGCCCGCGGGCUCCGUGACUAACCAGCCUUCGCCGUCACAUCUCCACGGGAGAACAUGGCUGCUCGUAGAUGAGCUGAUACGCGGCUGGAGACGCACACAGUGGGGCUGAAAUGAAGGCGGGGUUUAUCGAUUGCUGGCGGCGGGAUCAAAUCUCCGAGGCGUACGUCUAAAUAUCCCGCAAUGAUAUCCUCGCUAUGAAAGGCUGUCAGAAAAACGACCACAAUGCCGUUUGCAGUGAAGACAGAGCACCUGUUGAGCAGUGAGGACGCUGCAGACGUCUGCUUUUUCAGCACCACGGACAGCACCACAUCACAACAAUGAGGGAUGAAUAGAAAUAACACGAGGAGGAGGAGGAGGAGGGGAAAAGAGAGAGUGGUGUGGCCAUGUCAUGAGGGAUUAGCCCACUUCCACGCUGCCUGUCAUCUCACACGGAUAGACAGAUGUGUUGAACUUACCUGCAAAAACGAUGAUUCCACCGGCACUCCCUGCACUCCAACGCCGCCUCCCUGAACCUCCAGCCCGGUCACUCUUCCCGCACGCACGCCGUCAAGGAACCCGUGAUGUCAUUUGUGCCGCAGUCAGCAUUCUAGCUGGGAAGUGUGGGAGGAGACCUGACAAGACACCUGUUUGGAAGAGGGUGACCGCAUCGCUUCUGCACUCCCGUAAAUGUUGGAACAUCUUUUUGCUGGGCCAGCACAGGGGAACAUGCAACAGUACACAACAACACUUUAUACAAGUAGAAAUAAAAUGACUAGAUAUAACUGAACAUUGAGUUUUACAUUAUAGUUGCACUCAACUCAAUCCACAUUGUAAACUACUUUUUCAAAAAAGUACAAAUCUAAAACUAAUUGGGGAAAAAAGAUCAAAAACUAAUAAAUGACUAAAAUAAAUUAAAAAAAAUAAAUCUUUGCAAGUUAGAUGUGUUUUUUCCAAGCAUUACAAGUGAACUUUGCAAAGAGUCAAACCUCAGCUUUGUCAAUUCCCCCAUUUUUUUGUAAAGUAUUGCAUGCAACAAAAGAGUCUGCCCUGUAUGGCCUUGUUCUGAAAAAACAAGCACCCAAGUGUUGCUGACCCACUGUCCAUGUUUUUUUUUUUUUUUGAGUGACUGCUACAGUAAAUAACCUGCCACGGGGCCAAAGAAAGCUGCAAGUGCAGAACCAAUAUUGAAUUUGUUCCAUGCAUUCAUCAUUUAGAAUUAGUUCACAUUGUCUACUGCGAGUACAACUACAGUCUUUCUCCAUCAAAUGGAUUUUUAAUAUUUUGGGUGUUUGUAAGGGAGUCAUUGGAUUUCCUGUGCGAGGGGGAAAAAAAAUUGCCUUGUUUUGCAAUUUUUUUUGGAACAAAUUAACAACCAUGCAGGUCUGGAUUUGGUGUCACACUCAAAAUGAAAGUGGAAAAAGACCUCAUUCUAUCCCAUUUACUCAACAGCAUGUGAAAUUGAUUGUCAAGUGUGAAUUGAGUGCUCCCUUUAUUUUUUGGAGCAGUGUAUAAAUAAAUGUAAAAAGUGCAACUGCCAUAAUCAUAGCACUGAUCUAUUACAUCACACAAUACUUUUAUUUUUUAUUUAUUUAUAUUGUUUUUAAAAAGGGAUAGUUCAGAUUUUUUGUAGUAGUAUGACCUCCCCCGUCAGCGGCGAAGGCAAGCAACUCGACUUACACCACCCCACUCUGUCUCCUAAUUCCAGUUCUGAUCGGAUUUUGGCGAUGAAGAACGUAGUUCUAAAGAGUUCUAAAGAGUAAUAAAUACAUUUUCAUUACAAAAAUGCCUUCCCAAAAAAAUCUGACCUCACAAAACGCUCGGCGUUAUAUUUGUGCACUCAUGUGUAUGUGAAGAAGACACCUGCGGUAAUGCCACUCUUCCUUAAAUGUGUGUUCCACAGCGGAGGAAGAUGCGAGCGUCUUCAGUGUGCAGGAAUACGGCGGGAGACAAACAUAACACUGAGCGUUUGUGAGGCCGGAUUUUUCUGAGAAGGCAUUUUUGUGAGGCAAAUGUAUUUCUCUUUUGAAUGCAUAUUGUUUUGAGAAGUCAAACUCUUUGCUUAAAUGUCCCCAGCAACUAAGCGGAUCUGCGUUCAUCACCAAAAUCUGACCAGAACUGGAUUGAGGAGAUCAAGUGGGGGUUAAGUCUCUGUUGCUGGACUACACUACUGAUAGAGAUGUCAUACAACUUAAUGUAAAAAAAAAAUAAAAUAAAAUAAAAUAAAAAUCCCAACCAUCUCUUUAAGUCUCGUUUCAGUCAUUUUUACUGAAAAUGAAAUUUUUGCACAAUAUUUCAUAGUUUUUCUUUGAAAAUUUAAACAUACUUGAUAUUUGGUUUGCAAGAAUAGCACCACUUGCCAAACAUCCAGCCACUAGGGGGUAGAGAAACUGGCACUUGCU